AAAUUGAAGAGUUUGAUCAUGGCUCAGAUUGAACGCUGGCGGCAGGCCUAACACAUGCAAGUCGAACGGUAGCACAGAGAGCUUGCUCUCGGGUGACGAGUGGCGGACGGGUGAGUAAUGUCUGGGAAACUGCCUGAUGGAGGGGGAUAACUACUGGAAACGGUGGCUAAUACCGCAUAACGUCGCAAGACCAAAGAGGGGGACCUUCGGGCCUCUUGCCAUCAGAUGUGCCCAGAUGGGAUUAGCUUGUUGGUGAGGUAACGGCUCACCAAGGCGACGAUCCCUAGCUGGUCUGAGAGGAUGACCAGCCACACUGGAACUGAGACACGGUCCAGACUCCUACGGGAGGCAGCAGUGGGGAAUAUUGCACAAUGGGCGCAAGCCUGAUGCAGCCAUGCCGCGUGUAUGAAGAAGGCCUUCGGGUUGUAAAGUACUUUCAGCGGGGAGGAAGGUGUUGUGGUUAAUAACCGCAGCAAUUGACGUUACCCGCAGAAGAAGCACCGGCUAACUCCGUGCCAGCAGCCGCGGUAAUACGGAGGGUGCAAGCGUUAAUCGGAAUUACUGGGCGUAAAGCGCACGCAGGCGGUCUGUCAAGUCGGAUGUGAAAUCCCCGGGCUCAACCUGGGAACUGCAUUCGAAACUGGCAGGCUUGAGUCUUGUAGAGGGGGGUAGAAUUCCAGGUGUAGCGGUGAAAUGCGUAGAGAUCUGGAGGAAUACCGGUGGCGAAGGCGGCCCCCUGGACAAAGACUGACGCUCAGGUGCGAAAGCGUGGGGAGCAAACAGGAUUAGAUACCCUGGUAGUCCACGCCGUAAACGAUGUCUACUUGGAGGUUGUGCCCUUGAGGCGUGGCUUCCGGAGCUAACGCGUUAAGUAGACCGCCUGGGGAGUACGGCCGCAAGGUUAAAACUCAAAUGAAUUGACGGGGGCCCGCACAAGCGGUGGAGCAUGUGGUUUAAUUCGAUGCAACGCGAAGAACCUUACCUGGUCUUGACAUCCACGGAAGUUUUCAGAGAUGAGAAUGUGCCUUCGGGAACCGUGAGACAGGUGCUGCAUGGCUGUCGUCAGCUCGUGUUGUGAAAUGUUGGGUUAAGUCCCGCAACGAGCGCAACCCUUAUCCUUUGUUGCCAGCGGUCCGGCCGGGAACUCAAAGGAGACUGCCAGUGAUAAACUGGAGGAAGGUGGGGAUGACGUCAAGUCAUCAUGGCCCUUACGACCAGGGCUACACACGUGCUACAAUGGCGCAUACAAAGAGAAGCGACCUCGCGAGAGCAAGCGGACCUCAUAAAGUGCGUCGUAGUCCGGAUUGGAGUCUGCAACUCGACUCCAUGAAGUCGGAAUCGCUAGUAAUCGUGGAUCAGAAUGCCACGGUGAAUACGUUCCCGGGCCUUGUACACACCGCCCGUCACACCAUGGGAGUGGGUUGCAAAAGAAGUAGGUAGCUUAACCUUCGGGAGGGCGCUUACCACUUUGUGAUUCAUGACUGGGGUGAAGUCGUAACAAGGUAACCGUAGGGGAACCUGCGGUUGGAUCACCUCCUUACCUGAAAGAA
rnacentral:rRNA from 1 species